ensembl:lncRNA
GCAGGACGCACCUCCAGGCCACAACGAGGGAUGAUGUCCAACUGCCUUGGCAAUUCUAUUCCACCCUUUUGUCCUUUCACAGAUGUCCACUAGGACCCCAAACUCUACUUUCCGCUCACUGCCACAGGACCAUGUGUUUCUGGUAUCGAAAAGGGCGUGCCGACUGCCAGCCCGAGCGUGGCGUCCCCUGCCUCCGCCUGCUUUCUUCAGCCUUGGUGUUUUGGCUCUCAACGGACAUCUCUACGACAGACACUUGCUUCUCCCCUUGGGACUGCGUAACAGGCACAUUCCACAUCUCACAGAGGGGCGGAGAUGGAAAUGCCACUUGGGUCAUGAGAACAUGAAUAAUCUCUUGCCUUUGUUGUGUCCAUUUCACUGAAUGUAAGUAAGGAUGUUAAGUGUUGCUCUCGGGCAAGACAUACGGAAAGACUCCAGCACGUUGCCAGUGCAUAAGAAGCCCUUAAAAAUGCCAGUUUCUGUCCCCCUUUCCUAAUUGCUUAAGCUAUUGUCUAUCAGUUAUGGGGGGAAAAAGUCCUAUGUAUAAUCUCCUAUGACCUUCUAGGGAGGGUAGAUCUUUGUGCUAGAGGACUCUUUGCUACGUGUUCGUGUCUUAUGAUGUAUACCAUAUUGGUAAAGCCAGAUUGCUCUAGAAGGGAGGAAACAUAUCUUGUGGUAAAGGUUCUGGGACCAGAAAAGACAUCUAUAGUGUGGUAUAGCAUAGAAACUUAGGAAAGGUGGCAUGUUGAAUGUAUGAAGCUGUGGGCUUUGGGGUACAUGAUAUAAACUCUUCACCCCUACAUUGCUCCCUGCCCCCCUCCCAUGAAUUCUGCAGUAUAAUUUAUAUUAUUCACUAAUAUUCUUAGUGUGAGUGGGUUACUUGGCAGAAUAUGAAGUCCUGUGUAUUUGUGCAUCAGGAUGAAGACAGGGUCAGCCUCAGCAGAACUGAUAUUUUCCUAUUUGCUGUCUCUUCCCUGGCUGUCUCUGCCACCUCGUUCCCUGUUCAACUCCAUCUCUCGCCUCCUCUCCCUUUUUCUUUGCUGAUUUAGUGGUUCUGGGUCAUUAAGCUGUGUGUUCUUUGUGCCACACACCUUCUAAAGAGAAUAUAAAGUAGGAUCCCACGGAAUGUAAACUCAUGUAUCAUGGACAACUGCCAUUGUAUUUCUUAACUGGAGGGUGAAUAACUGAGAAGAAAGAAGCAGCUGGAAAGGAGAAAUGCCGUAAGUCAGAGUUUUAUUUUGUUUGUUUCUUCUCAACUGCUUUUGGAAGGGAAUUGUCUUUUGGGGAAGAUGGUCGAGUGAUAGGGUGAUGUGUUCUCCAAUGGAGUUAUUCAUAGGAUGAGGUCAAAGCCCAGUAAAGUAUUACUACAUUGGAGAAGAAGGUACAGACUUCAAACAACUCGUUGCCCCAUUAUGUGUCCCUGGCUCUAUCUUCCACUCACCUGAGUACCCAGACACUCCCCCAGUCCUGCCGUCCCUGAGGACUGAGUGAGGUUGGGGCUCUAAUGAGAUCUCCCUGUGGCUUUGGAUGGUACUAGACAGAACCAGCUCUGGUACCUGGAAGCGUGGAGAAAGGGAGCCCAGAGGAGGAGGGAGAUGAAAGACCACUUUUGUGGCUUGUAAUUUGGUCUCAGGCAUUGUUAACUAAUAUCACUGGCCGCACCACUGAUAGCCUGUGGGAGCUGUCUUUGGAAUGAGUCAGGCCAGCAUUGGAAAAUCUGGGGUCAAAAUCCAAGGUCUUUUUUUAAUAGCUGUGUGAUCCUGCAUCAGGACUUCAACUCUCAGAACCUUAGCUUCAUGUCAUGUAUGUUUUCAAUGAACAGUUACCAUGGCAUAUUUCAUGUAAAAGCAUCUAUAUUUCAUAAAUGAGCAUAAUUUAUACCACAGUAAUAUUGCAAGUUUUAACUAUGUUGGUAUGAAAGGGACUAUAUGAUAACAAAUUACUAUUAUAACUUUGUCACCAAAAAUAUCAGUAAAUAAUUUUCAGAGCUUUAUUAAAGCUGGAAAUCCAUAUUUUUUUCUAUGAAGAAAGACUUAUUGGCCAAUGUUAGAAAAUUGCUACCUCUGAAUUUUUUUUAAAUAAAACAUGUAUUAAAGAGCA